rnacentral:misc_RNA from 1 species
CGCACCUUGCGCUCUUUGGUAUUCCGAAGAGCAUGCCUGUUUGAGUGUCAUUAAAUUCUCAACUCCACCAGUUUGCGAAAACCGGUGAAGCUUGGAUGUGGAGGUUUUGCAGGUCCGUCACCGGUCUGCUCCUCUGAAAUGUAUUAGCAGGUUAAGCUACCUGUCUAUUGGUGUGAUAAUUAUCUACAUCGUGGACUAGGAUCAGCAAUAAAUUGACCAGCUUCUAAUCGUCCGCAAGGACAAUUACUUGACAAACUUGACCUCAAAUCAGGUAAGACUACCCGCUGAACUUAA